GCUUACUUCCUGCCAGCAGCGGCGGUAAUAGGUGGGGAGCAUUCUUAAUAGGAAUUGUUGGAGGUAAGCGUCCCCGGCGUUUAAGAUAAGACAGAUGUGAAAUCCCCGGGCUCAACCUGGGAAUUGCAUUUGUGACUGCAAGGCUAGAGUUAGACAGAAGGGGGGUAGAAUUCCGCGUGUAGCAGUGAAUUGCGUAGAUAGGGGGAGGACCACGGAGGGGGAAGGCACCCCCCCUGGGUCAAAACUGUCGCUCAUGCAAGAAAGGGUGGGGACCAAACAGGAUUAGAUACCUUGUUUAGUCCACCCCCUAAAGGAUGUCUACUAGUUGUUGGUUCUUAAUUGACUUAGUAACGCAGCUAACGCGUGAAGUAGCCCGCCUGGGGAGUACGGUCGCAAGAUUAAAACUCAAAGGAAUUGACGGGGACCCGCACAAGCGGUGGAUGAUGUGGAUUAAUUCGAUGCAACGCGAAAAACCUUACCUACCCUUGACAUGGAUGGAAUCCUUGAGAGAUUGAGGAGUGCCCGAAAGGGAACCAUUACACAGGUGCUGCAUGUCUGUAGUCAGCUCGUGUCGUGAGAUGUUGGGUUAAGUCCCGCAACGAGCGCAACCCUUGUCAUUAGUUGCUACGCAAGAGCACUCUAAUGAGACUGCCGGUGACAAACCGGAGGAAGGUGGGGAUGACGUCAAGUCCUCAUGGCCCUUAUGGGUAGGGCUUCACACGUCAUACAAUGGUACAUACAGAGGGCCGCCAACCCGCGAGGGGGAGCUAAUCCCAGAAAGUGUAUCGUAGUCCGGAUCGCAGUCUGCAACUCGACUGCAUGAAGUCGGAAUCGCUAGUAAUCGCGGAUCAGAAUGUCACGGUGAAUACGUUCCCGGGUCUUGUACACACCGCCCGUCACACCAUGGGAGCGGGUUUUGCCAGAAGUAGGUAGCUUAACCGCAAGGAGGGC
rnacentral:rRNA from 1 species